UUUAUAUAUUUGCCAAAGUUCGAAACAUAAAUGUGAAGUGGCCAAAACGGGGGCCCAUUUCAAGAAGCAGGUUUUCAAGAAACCUUAAGGGAAACUCUGAGUUUCUGGUUUCAGAAACAGAGGUAACUUAAACCCGUCAAAGCGGGUUAAACCAAACUUGUUUCAUAAAGCAGGCUGAUUGGAACUUAGAGUUCAUCACUAUGGCAACUGAGUCGGUGAACGUAACCUGGUCUGGAGCAGGUUUCCUUCAGGAAACUCAGAGUUCUCCGCGGUCUCCGCCCCUUCUUAAAGUGAAGGACAAAAAAUGAUCGUUCAUGCGAUUACGGAGAUUACACGCUAAAUUAUUGACAGAUCAAAAUCCAUUCCUCACUCAACAAGUGACACAAUGCCAUUCCGGCAUUAUUUAGUUCUUAUCCUGAAUUGACAUGAUUCAAAUAGAGACGUGCGCAACGUGUGGAAAGAUUUCAAAAUAACUUUUUUCACAAGAUUUCUUUUCAGCAGCAAAACACAAUAAACAAAAUUCCGACUUAGAAACAAAAUUUUUUCUUCCAAACAAGAUUUUUCUUACAAAGCUGAACCAGAAAGAAGAAUCCUGGAUUGGUCUGUAUCUUGGAUGGUCAUCACAAAAGGAUAAAUAUGCACGGAUGUGAGUGGACAGAUUGUCAUUAACAGAAAUAUGCUGGGAAUCAGAAAAAGAACCCUAUCCCUUUAACAACCACAUGACAGUGUUUUUAAAUACUGAAGGGAGAAUGGCAGAUCUAGAGAAAAACAUCUCUUAAAAACUACAUCUGUGAGAUGUGAAGCUGAUGCUUUCAUUGCUGUUACAGGCCUGUGCAGUGAUUGAUCUGCUCUGUAUUAGAACCAAUAAAUGCCCUGAUUAAGAAAC